rnacentral:tRNA from 1 species
UCCCUGAUGGUCCAGUGGCUAAGACUCCACGCUUGCAAUGCCGGGGGUCUGGGUUCAAUCCCUGGCCAGGGAA